rnacentral:lncRNA from 10 species
AAUAUAUUCUGAAUUUCACUGUAUAAUAAAAGGCUGUUGUCAUUCUUAAAAUUGUUCCUGUAGUAAUAUGUCUUUUCAUUAUGUGGCUGCUUUAUACUGGUUUAAAUAAUUUGUUUAUUAUGUACCUAUGUGGUUUUAUUUAUGAUGCUUUAUUUACAUGGGCUUUUUGGAUUUAUACUUUUCACAACAUUUUAAAAGUUGUCAGUCAUUACUCUACUAAAUAUAUUUCUAGCCCUCUCUACCACAAAUGGUUUCUCUCCUUUUGAGGCUCAAAUCAGGUAAAUAGUAAGCAACUUGGUGUUUUUCUAGAGCUUAUUAAUGCUGUGCUUAAUUUUUUUAGUCUUUUAUUUAUAUAUGUUUCAUUUAGAAUAAUUUAAUUUCUGUGUUUUCAAAUUUAUGUAUUUGUCUACAAUGUCUAAUAUUCUGUUAAUAUGUCUAUUGUAUUUUUUAAUCUCAGAUAUUAUAUGUUUCAAUUAUAGUUUAUUAUGUGUGUGUUUUUAACCUUCUCUUUCUCUGCUUUUCAUGGUUUUCUCUAUAGUCUCCAACAUGAGUAUAUUGAUAAGACCAUUUGUUAAUGCCCUUGACCACCCAUUCUAUCUUCUUUGUCAUUUCCAGGUCUAAUUCUAUUACCUAUUUUUUUCUCUUAUACUAAGCAAUAUUUCUAGAAUUCUUUUCGUGUCUAGUUUUUUUUGUUUUUUUUUUUCUUUUUUUGACCAUAGUCAUGGUAAUAUAUAUUGUUUUUAGGUUCUACACUUUGGAUUUUAGACUAAGGUCAAUCAUUGGAAAUAAUUUUUUUGUUUGUUUUUUCCUUCAGGGCUUUAUUUUAAGCUUUGUUAGAUCCAAAAGAGAUUUUUGGUGUUAAUUUUAUUCUUUUAUAUUUUAAAUACUAUUCUGAGAACUCUAUGUGAUGCCUAUUUGUUAGGAGUUUUUCCAUCUUGUCUGUUAAAUAAUGUGACGCCUAUUUGUUAGGAGUUUUUCCAUCUUGUCUGUUAAAUAAUAAAAUAAAAUAUUCUCAACUCUAUGUGAGUCUUAGUAUUGUUCUGAGUAUUACUUGUUAUAAUUGUUUUUCCAGUCUCUGUUAUUUUUUAGUAGGCAUUCAGUUGAAGAAUUAAUGGGGAUUAUAUUCACAUUUUUGGAGUGAAAGUAAUUCAGACAAUGUAUCCAUAAAUAAUUAAAUAACAUCUAGAUUUAUUUUUACUUCAUUAAAUUAAUUUUAGCAUGUGCAUUGGAUAAUAAAAUAUUAAUUCUUUAUUGCCAUAAAUAAAUUUAACAUUUUUAUGUGCAUCUUUCUUUGUUUUCUUGAAUUAUUCAAUAAUACUUGUUUGCUAACAGGUGCUCAAAUUUUAUAAACAAACACAUGCACAUAUACACUUACCCCUUUAUUGUUUUACUUAUAGGCUAUAGAAUAUGCUUAUCUAAAUGCCUUCAAUUUGUAAUCAGCUUUAUUAAUGUUUACUAUAUAUUACAACAAUAUAAUCAUUUUACAUAUUAUAUUGUUUCAAAUACUGAAACAAUUAUAAAUUAGCAUAAAAAAUAUAAAAAAUUGUCAUCAUGCCAAAAGCUCCUUUGUAUCCAUCCAACUUAAGGGCCUGACUCAAACCACAAACACUCCCUAAUCUGCCUUAACUCACUAUAGUUUACAUCUAUCUUUUGUAGAGUUUCAUAUAAAUAAAAAUCUAUAUUACGCUAGUUUCUCAUUUCUUUGGUUCAUCAAAAUACAUUUGAGAUUCACCUAUAAUAUCAGAUAAAUCAAUAUUGCAUAG